GUUGCUUUGGCAGAGUAGUGCAUUGAAUUUAGAAUUCGAAAAUGUAAAUUUUUAUUACAAGUAAUA
rnacentral:tRNA from 1 species